UUAAUACAUCUCUCCCUAAUUACUCUCACAUUUAAAAUAAAUUUCGUUGAUGAAUAACUUGACUCCAGCAAGUCCAUAAUGCAUCAUUUGAUGCAUAUUGAAUUAAUGUUUUCAUUAUCUAGCAGAAGUCUAAUUGUGGUUACUUUCCCAGGAGUUGGGCAGGAUAUAAUCUGUGCAAUAAUUGCUGAAUACUCACCCCCAAAUAAAUAACUCACAUCAGAUGAAGUUGGUCAGUAAAUCACAAUUUCAGCCAUUAUUGAGCAGCCCUACUAUGCAAGCCCUGGCAAAGAAUUACAAACAGGAAAAUCGUAGAGCUAGAAGAGAGACCUCUAGCGUGUGUUAGAGAACUUUAUAUUGUGCUUCGGGCAUAAUUAAUACAGCAAAAUCACUGCAGUCACCCUGCAUACUGUGGUGGGAGAUCUUCAUAACUAGCAUUCACAUGCCAUUCAUUGAAACACUUCUUCCCAGCAAACGUAUGGCAUUUUUGCCUUGUUAGGUACUGUCUUCCUAUAAACAAAAGCCUAACUCAAUGAAGUUUUCUUGUGAUGCAAAGUUUUAAAGUUCCGUGGUCACCUCUGCAACCUGAUUAGUAGACAUUUAACUUACAGUCCUCACUGACAAUCGCUAAUCAUUCUUUCCAUGCAGGCAGCAGCGGGAUUCCGGAGGAGUUUAAUGCUCAGAAUGCUCACAGUCAGAGUUCAGCCUCCUAAACACCAGCCCCUCCUCAUAAGCCAAAUGCCACCCAAAUAGAAACACGAGGAGGAAAUUGGCGUCUUGCCCAUUCUCCCGGAGACAAAUGGAUCCACUACUGUUUUAAAUUCACCAAGUAGGCUAGCUAUUAGUUUCCACAGUUUCCUAGAUAAUGCAGGUGAAUUCCUUGAUGUAGAAUCAGAUUUAAUGAAUCAUUCUAUGGCACCAGCCUCAGCCAUUAAAAAUCCUUUAUUUUCUCCUUUUCCACAUUAAAAAUACAUUUGAGAUAGACUCAGAAAAUGUUUCUCUAAAACGCACACACUUGCACACAAAACAGGAGGUCUCUUAAGGAGUCUACUGCUGAGAAGGUAAAAGCAUUUUGCUCAUUUUUAAUUUGCUAAAACAAUCCAAGCAUGCUUGGUACCCAGAGGGUAUUCUCAAAUAAACUUGUAUCUGUAGCUGCCAGCUUAGUUGAUUGAAAACAGAAGGCAAACGUUUCUUAAAGAAUGAGUAUGUUAAACUGUUAUGUCUCUCCCAGUACCACAAGGACACACACACACACACACGCACACACGCACACACACACACGCCUGCAAGCACACAAAGAUUUGCUCGAAAGCAGAGAGGUCUACGAUCUAAAAGGCAGUGCAGCAUUUGUACCAAAUUACUUCUGCCUACUGCUGGGCACCGCUUAGCGAGGAGGCCAGGGCCAGGAGCACACUGGACAGUUCCUGCGUACUGGUCUCCACGUACAAAGCCGACGGCCCCGGUGCAACUUUGCUAACUUAGUUGGCUCCCGCCCAGCCGGCCCCCGGAGCACAGUCACGGUGAAAACGUUUUUAUGCCGGAAAAUCAUUUCCACGACAGUGUAAGUGUUCGAAAGCACAAAGGCAGACAUUCGACCCGCGGUAGCUGGCAGUUGCGUACGCGGGGCGGCCGCGCAGAGCUCGCGUCCAGGGCUCUCGCUUCGCUUUCUCAAGUUGACCUGACAUUGCUGUUACUCGAAGGUCGCACAACUUGUUGAUGAGGAUCACCACCCUGUCUGAUCAAAGCAUAGGUGAUAAUUUGGCAAUAAAGCAACACAUUUUUGGUUCCUUUGGCGACACAGCGUCCCAAAUGACGUGGAUAAAAAUAAGCACAUGCAGUCUGCUUUGCCCCAAUCAAGUCUGAAUCAGCGCCUGGGGGUGAUACACAAACUCAUUUCAAAUGUUCAACCAUGCAGAAUUGUAAAAAGAUUGAAGGAGUUACACCGCAUUUUUUCAAAUGGCAAAAUUAAAAGAAAACCAAGCCUAACAUUAGGUAGGUAGGGACCUACCAUUUAGGUUUAUUUGAUCAACAUUCUGAACAUACCUCUCCUCCUUCCUUCUCUUUGCUUCCUUCCACCUGGUAUCUUUCAUGAGAGGGGGUGGAGGGGUCUUAAGUCCAGUAUUUGCCGGAAGUGCUCCGCAGAGCCCAAGACUCUAACAUAAACACAUUUCCCCAGCUUGCUGCUCUAGUUAUGACCUCCCCUGCUCCUCAUCACUUCUUCCUUUCCAGGUCUUUGUUCAAAGAGCUUGUCCCUGAGCCACUUGUUAUCUUAAUUCUUUUUAGCUAGGGGGAGAGAUUUGGUUAUAAACUCAAGGGUCACCUCCCAUUAAUAUUAUAUCCUUGCAGGAUACUUUUUGAAAUAGUGUGUUUUUGAGCACUUCGCAGUUCAUUAAUUCAAAGACUUUGCUGACAUUUCUUUAAAAAAACCUCCAAAAAACCAGGUUGUAAGGCCAUGGAUACUAAAAAGAGGUGUGUGGGGGGAGGAAAACCCUGAAUAGCCCUGGCUUGCAAAUACCUGUAACUGGCAGCAUUUCCCAGGAAGUAUUUUUUUUAACCAUUAUGUUAUCUUUAAGGUAAGCAGCUGCUGCAAUAUUAGCAGAAAAGACAAGGGCAGGCUUUUAAAAAUAUAUAGCUUACCAGAUCAAUGCUAUAAUGAUUUGAGAGAUUAAUGUCAUAAGAAGAAUCAGUUGUGCUGUUAGUAGAUAUCUUUAAAUAUAACAAAUUCAUAGGACAGGAGUAUCUGGUUUGAGAACACCACUGCCCUAGAGGAAGAAAAACGUGCCUUUGUGGAACAACACAAAAGAAAGUCGCAUUAUUCUUUGUACAUUCUUGUAGUGAUAUUCUCUGAACUGCAAUAAAAAUUUUAAAAUGUGCACAAAAUGCUAAAAUCAACUGAGUAAAAACUUUGUUCUUGCUCCUAAAUGGCGCUGUUAGUAUUGGAGAAAUUUAGAAGAACAUGAACAUGGACUGUGGCAGAAACAUACCCAGUUAUUUUUUCUGACAAUCUAAUACAGGUUGAAUAUGUCUUACCUGAACUGCUUGGAAUCAGGGAAGUUCAGUUUUUUCUCCCAGAGUUUGGAAGAUUGCAUAUGUAUAAUGAGAUAUCUUGGAAAUGGGGCCCAAGUCUAAAUAUGAAAUUCAUUUAUGUCUCAUAUGUCACAUGGCCUGAAGGAAACUUUAUACAAUGUAUUUUAUGAUUUUAUGCAUGAAACAAAAUUUCAUAGUGUGGAGCUUUCUACUUGUGGCCUCAUGUUGACACCCAAAAAGUUUCAGAUUUUAGAACAUUUCCGAUGUUUGGAUUAGAGAUGUUCAACCUGUUCCAUAAAGCUAUGACCUAAAGUGACUUUUCAUUUUUCAAAAAGUGUGUCACCUGGAGAGCCGUGCAUGGUUGAACUAAAAUGUUAAAGUUGGAAAGCUCCUUUGCAGGUAUCUGGCCCUUCACCAUCACUUCACAUGCGACGAAAGGAGAGCAGGCUGCCCAAGAUGAAAAGCCCCACGUGGACAGGGGAGAGGCCACAAGAUGCAGGACUAGAAGAAAGCGCCUCAUAGGAAGCUGGCUGCCGUUGACCGUACCUCUAUUUGCAGUGUAACGUGUGCCAUGCACAGCCCAUCCGGCUCAGAGCCACUUAGCUUUGCUUCACUGUUUCACUGUCUGAACAAGGCCGCUCAUGAGAAACCCCAUAAUACAAUUGAGGCACCUCGGGGGCACCAUAUACAUUUAUUAAAGAAAAAUGUCAAGAAGAAAGCAUUUAACUUAGAGCUUGGAAAAUGGUCAAUAGUAGGUUUCCAAAGCCCUGGAGAGAGUACCUUAUGAUCUAAGAGCCCUGCUCAAAGGACAGAAAAAAAAAGGGCAGAGACAUGAUCAGACAUCUGUUUACCAAUGUUCCCGGCAGCAUUAUUCACAAUAGACAAAAGGCUAUAAUCCUAAUGGUUGGGACCAAAGACACCCAGGGUGGGUCUUCCCUCUUCAGUAAGUCCAUCAUCCACACCCAGAACUGUGUCAAACCAAUCAGUGAACUACUGCAAUAUCACACACCUAUGAUCCAGUCACUUCUAAAAGCACCACUUAUGAGCAUAUGAAGCAUUGGGAGGACAUCUACAUAUAAGCCACAGCACGUGACAACAGAAAGCUGCUAUGUGGCCAAGAAGGAUGUGGUCAAGAGAGAAAAAGAAAGGUGUCGAAGAGUGCCCCGAAGGUUUGCGCACCAAGUCGCUGGUGUCCUUAAUGAAAGCAGUUGCGGUGGAAGCUUCAAGUUCCCCCUGUCCAUAUCUCCUCUGAAGAAACUCUGUGCAGCUCUAUCUGUCUAAAAACGUGGGGCCAGGUUAGCAGAGAGGGGCGGCGGUCAGGGCACAUUCCCUCUCCCCUUGGCAGCGGCUGUGCUGUGUCGUGAGUACUCAAAGCCACAUGGCCUCAGUUUAUAGGCUUGUCCUAGUUCUGGGUGUGCUGCCACCUCCACUGCACCAUCUUAUUUUGGGACACACAGGAUAUUUAUCUGUAAAGAUACACAGCACCAGGGAGCAGAGACAUAAUGGGUCUCAUAAAAAUUCCAUCACUGCAGCAGCAGUUCCAAGGGGCCCAGCUAGUUGGUUGAAGAAAGGGUGCUCAGGGUCAAGGUUGAUGUCCAAGGGGAAACUCAGCUCACUCCUGCACAGGGCCCCACUGUUUGUAACCUUUGCCUUUCUCGUUAUACUGUAUAUUACCGUUUUUUACUUGAGUGUUUAAAACAUAUUCUUUUCUUUGUUUUGGGUGUACUUUGAUUUUAAAUUAUGGGAAUAUAAAUUCACCCAUUAAUAUCAUCGGUUUGCUUGAUUUUCUGUACUUUGAGAUCUUUAUUAGACCACUUUACCCCUGCUGGACACAAUACUGAACAGCCACAGUUUAAAGAAGGAGAGGUUUACUUUGGCUCAUAUUUUAAGGGGGUUAAGUCCAUGGUUAGCUGGCUCCAGGACAGAAACAUCAUGGCAGAAGGGCAUGGUGGAGCAAAGCUGUGGCCUGGAAGCAGAGCAGGGCAACAGUACCAGGGAGGAAGGGGCCAGGGAUGGACUAUAUAUAGUACUCAAGGUCACACUUCCAUGACCCAUUCAGACACACCCACAAGUGUGCUCCACCAAUCCCCAUCCUAUUGACAUCACAGGGUCCUUAAUCACAGGGCCGUAUGUGUCUGGGCAGUCACCUAGCCUCUUAAAAGAGCACUAUUGCACAUUUGUUGAAGCUUACAUUGGCCAACUUGUUCUUUUCUCAAUUAUGUCUUCCCCAGCUGUGACCUCUCCAAAUAGAAAGACAAUAUCCACAGUAUUCUGGGGAGUAUUGUGCAGGAAAAUACUAAUAAGAAAAGAGCACUGGAGGCUCAUACAUUCUGU